rnacentral:rRNA from 1 species
GAUCAUGGCUCAGAGUGAACGCUGGCGGCGUGCCUAAUACAUGCAAGUUGAACGGAGAUUAAAUAGCUUGCUAUUUAAUCUUAGUGGCGCACGGGUGAGUAAUGUAUAGUUAAUCUGCCCCAUAGUGGAGGACAACAGUUAGAAAUGACUGCUAAUACUCCAUACUCCUUCUUAUCAUAAGUUAAGUCGGGAAAGUUUUUCGCUAUGGGAUGAGACUAUAUCGUAUCAG